rnacentral:misc_RNA from 1 species
UUUAAAAAAAAAAAAAAAAGGAAAAGGUGAAAUAUAACAUCCUCUAGGUUAUCAACCAAUAGAUUCCUCCUUUCAGCUUAUUUUCAACUUCUUUCUAUUUAACUGAUCUUUUUCCUUAAGCUGCAAACGUCCUUUUACUAAAAUAUAAGAGAAGCCACCAGAUAGGAAAGACUAUUGGCCAAUUUAAAGCUAACGUUGACAAGGUGAAGCACAUACACACUGGCUAGUGGCUACUCAUUCAGGUCAUACCCCAACAUAACAACGCUACUGCAAGCCACAUUAAAUCAAAAUGGAAGUGUGAAUGUGGAUUAGGAACCUCUGAACUAUCUACAUGUUCCUAAUUCAAGAUUGUUCUAAACCUACACCUUCAUUCAAUUAGAUUUACCAUGGAAGCAAAACCUUUUUAUCGAACAGACUUUGGAUUCAACUAUGCAUCAACUAAAAACCAAGUCAGACUUGACUAAGAAAUUUGGAUACUUUCUUUUGGACUUUAGAUUUGGAAUAAAUGAAAUAAUAGAAAUUUACAAAGAGAGAAUCUGUAUGUAUCAAACUUCAAGUAAUAUUAGCAUGGUAGAUAUUUCCAAUAAUGAAUACCACAGUAAUACAUGGAUUGCAUUUAAUGGAUGAAGUGACCACAUAGCCAAAUCUGAUAGGUUACUCCUUCAAUUGGGUAUUACAACUAACUAGUUUGGGUUCUGAAACUUCUGAAAAGGAAGUAACACUUUGAACAAAGGCAUCCAAUAAAUGAAUGUAAAGGCUAUAUUUGGUUAACGGUGACAAGACAAGCUUCAAGAUUUUAAAGUCACAGGCCAUUAAAAUAUAAGUAGCAAACAUCAUUGUAGUACUAGAAUAGAUUCCAAAAUCCAUUAGUAGAAUAGCAUCUCUCUCUCAUUUCAAGUAAUUCAGAUGUAUGCAUCAUCCAUUCUUUAUUGAUAGCCAAAUGCUAUCAAACUACUUAGAUUUCAUUUUCAUCCAGUUACAAGCACAGAUAGACAGCACAAUUCACCUUUAUUGUGCGUUGCUCAAGGUCUAAAUGGUUUGAUACAGGGACACAAGAACUUGCUUUGAAAGGAUUAAGGAUGGAUGAGUACUCAAUUUUCUUUUGAUCCCUAAUUUUCAACCGAUGGGAACCAACAUACUAGAUGAAUUAUUGGAUAAUUAAUUAUGAUUCACUCAUACAGGACAGAAUGGAAGAACAAUAAAAAUAAUAGUUGACCACAAAUUUAUUGGGAUUAAAAUUUAGCUUAGUUACGCAGUUUCUAUUUAUACCAAAUUCACUAAGAAGUUUUCCUCCUAUGGAACUCAAAACACUUGCAUGUAGGUUACAUUAAAAGGAUUCAUAUGAUACAGCCAAUAAUCACAACUCACCGAAAGUAACUUCUUUCUGAGGU